AAAAAUCCGUCUCCCGUGAAGCCUGAGAUCUGAUGCAUAGCCUUCACAGGCGAAUUCGGUGAUCGUCAGCUGCCAAGAAAAGCAUCGACGCGAGGUUCUAGCCGCCCGUACCCCAAACCGACUCAGGUGGUUAGGUAGAGAAUACCAAGGAGAUCGAGAGAAUCGUGGUUAAGGAACUCGGCAAAAUGCCCCCGUAACUUCGGGAGAAGGGGGGCCUGAGGCGUGAAGGGACUUGCUCCCGGAAGCGUUUGAAGGCCGCAGAGACCAGUGGGAAGCGACUGUUUACUAAAAACACAGGUCCGUGCGAAGUCGCAAGACGAUGUAUACGGACUGACGCCUGCCCGGUGCUGGAAGGUUAAGAGGAGCGGUCAGCGCAAGCGAAGCUGCGAAUUGAAGCCCCAGUAAACGGCGGUGGUAACUAUAACCAUCCUAAGGUAGCGAAAUUCCUUGUCGGGUAAGUUCCGACCUGCACGAAUGGCGUAACGACUUCCCAGCUGUCUCAACCGCGAACUCGGCGAAAUUGCAAUACGAGUAAAGAUGCUCGUUACGCGCAGAAGGACGGAAAGACCCCGUGACCUUUACUAUAGCUUUGUAUUGGUGUUUGGUGUGGCUUGUGUAGGAUAGGUGGGAGACUGUGAAGCUUGGACGCUAGUUCAGGUGGAGUCAUUGUUGAAAUACCACUCUGGUCAUUCUAGAUAUCUAACUUCGAACCGUAAUCCGGUUCAGGGACAGUGCAUGGUGGGUAGUUUAACUGGGGCGGUUGCCUCCCAAAAAGUAACGGAGGCGCCCAAAGGUUCCCUCAACCUGGUUGGCAAUCAGGUGGCGAGUGUAAGUGCACAAGGGAGCUUGACUGUGAGACUGACAGGUCGAGCAGGGACGAAAGUCGGGACUAGUGAUCCGGCAGUGGCUUGUGGAAGCGCUGUCGCUCAACGGAUAAAAGGUACCUCGGGGAUAACAGGCUGAUCUUGCCCAAGAGUCCAUAUCGACGGCAUGGUUUGGCACCUCGAUGUCGGCUCGUCGCAUCCUGGGGCUGGAGUAGGUCCCAAGGGUUGGGCUGUUCGCCCAUUAAAGCGGUACGCGAGCUGGGUUUAGAACGUCGUGAGACAGUUCGGUCCCUAUCCUCUGUGCGCGCAGGAAAUUUGAGAGGAUCUAUCCCCUACGAGAGGACCGGGAUGGACGAACCUCUGGUGUGUCAGUUGUUCCGCCAGGAGCACCGCUGAUUAGCUACGUUCUGAACGGAUAACCGCUGAAAGCAUCUAAGCGGGAAGCCGGCCUCAAGAUGAGAUUUCCAUGACUUCGGUCGAGAGGCUCCCAGCUAGACUACUGGGUUGAUAGGCGGGAUGUGGAAGUGAGGACUAAAGACUCAUGAAGCUGACCCGUACUAAUAAGCCGAUAGACU
rnacentral:rRNA from 1 species